AGCAGAUUAGGAUGUGAGCGGUCAAGUGAAUAAUACAUCAAGUGAGCUGCAAACAAAGUCCUGCCCACUGAAGAGGGAGAUCGUCUGAAAGCAAGAUGUGGCUCGGGUCAUUUUUUCACCUGUUUUACGGUGCAUCAGGUGAAAAUGCUGCAUCUGAUCACUUAAACUAGCAGCUCAGUCUCCUCAAUGGCACUGAUGAUCUGAGGAAUCAUUCCCAUCUGCAGCACAAACUCUGAACUGAACUU